GUUGCACAGUGGCUAAAGCAUUUGGUUGUUAACCAGAAGGUUGGUGGUUCGAACCCACCAACU
rfam:Loxodonta africana unplaced genomic scaffold scaffold_27, whole genome shotgun sequence.